CAAUAGCGUAUAUUAACGUUGUUGCAGUUAAAACGCUCGUAGUUGGAUUUCUGGAGGGAGCGUCGGCCCGUAUUUACGAGUGCGUGACGUCUCUGUCCAUCCUUGCGGGAAGGCACGGCAUUGAUUUGUUGUGUCGGAUCGCAUCAUUUACUGUGAAAAAAUUAGAGUGUUCAAAGCAGGCUUUCGCUUGAAUACAUUAGCAUGGAAUAAUAAGAUAGGACUUUGGUGCUAUUUUGUUGGUUGAGCCUAAAGUAAUGAUUAAUAGGGAUAGUUGGGGGCACCUGUAUUGCGUUGUCAGAGGUGAAAUUCUUGGAUUUACGCAAGACAAACAGCUGCGAAAGCGUCUGCCAAGGAUGUUUUCAUUAA
rnacentral:rRNA from 1 species